UAAAUGAAGGGUCUGAUCAUGGCUCAGAUUGAACGUUGGCGGCAGGUCUCAUACAUGCAAGUCGUACGGGGAUGCAGCUUCGGCUGUGAACCCAGUGGCGGACGGGUGAGUAACGCGUAGGAAUCUACCUGGUAGUGGGGAAUAACUCGAGGAAACUCGGGCUAAUACCGCAUACGACCUAAGGGUGAAAGCGGGGGAUCUUCGGACCUCGCGCU
rnacentral:rRNA from 1 species